AUCCUUCUGGUUCAGAAAAAUGAUGAUUGGGGUCUUCAUGCGCAUGCGUGAGCUGUGCCGCCCGAAAUACUUGUUACGCGUUGGCACAUUACCCUUCUGACU